GGGGAUGAAUUGGUUUCGACUGCAGCUAUUAGUCAGCAGUGGCACGCCGAUUGACCUGGCGUAUCGUAAAAACGGCGGGAUUAAAUUAAACGCAAACGAAAAUUUUGCACUCGCUGCGUAAGC
rnacentral:tmRNA from 1 species